CUCUCUCGGCCGCCGCCGCCGCCAGUUUGUCGGCUGCCGCCGCAGCCCGCCUCCAUCCGCCGCCAUCCGCCGUUAGCGCCGCCGCCGCCCGCCGGGACUGAGCGCGGCGGCCGCGCGCCGCCAUGAGGGCCAAGUGGCGCAAGAAGCGAAUGCGCAGGCUGAAGCGCAAGAGGAGGAAGAUGCGGCAGAGGUCCAAGUAGGCGCCGUGCCCGGCCCCGGAGCCCCGGACCGGAGGAGUCGUCGGAGCGCCGCGGGGAGCUGAUGGCGGGGCCGUACCGGGGCCGGUGCCGCGCUCUGUAAUGGCCCCGGUGCCGCCAAUAAAGCUUGGAUGUGUUCGUUGGA